UCCGUAGGGGGCAAGCGUUGUCCGGAUUUAUUGGGCGUAAAGAGCGUGUAGGCGGCCAGACAGGUCCGUUGUGAAAACUAGAGGCUUAACCUCUAGACGUCGAUGGAAACCGUCUGGCUAGAGUCCGGAAGAGGAGAAUGGAAUUCCUGGUGUAGCGGUGAAAUGCGCAGAUAUCAGGAAGAACACCCGUGGCUAAGGCGGUUCUCUAGUACGGUACUGACGCUGAGACGCGAAAGCGUGGGGAGCGAACAGG
rnacentral:rRNA from 1 species